rnacentral:hammerhead_ribozyme from 1 species
AUCCAGAUGACGAGUCCCAAAGAGGACUAAAUGCUCAUCCUGGAU